rnacentral:tRNA from 1 species
GCCUUCGUGGUGUAGUGGUCAGUACGCUCGACCCUUAUUCGAGAGGUCUGUGGUUCGAGUCCCGGCAAAGGCG